rnacentral:sRNA from 1 species
CUACAUACAACCGCUCAAAUACAGGUUUAAGUACGAAGGCAAAUAUAUUAUUUUGUUUGUCUAUUCAAGCUAGCUUCAUUGUAUAGCUCAUGAAGGUGUCACCUGUAUAUGGCGUGACUUAUUAUAUA